rnacentral:lncRNA from 1 species
AACUAUAGUAGUAGUAAUGUCUAUACUAUAUUGUUUGUAAUAGUAAUAAUAUUUGCAGUAAUCACUAAAUUUUAACUAAUACUAUUCAAACACACAGGGCAUGGAUAGGGCUGGGCCAGGGACAAGGUCAGGCCAGGAAGGGGCCAGGGCCAAGGCAGGGCCAUUCUGAUUUGCCCUGCCCCAACGUUGGCCCAGCCCUGCUCUGGCAUUUCCUGUCAUGCCCUGUCCCUGGCCUGAGCAUUGGCCCUGGCCCUGUCCUGCUUCUGGCCCUGCCCCGGAGUUGACCAGUGGCCCUGCACUGGUCCUGCCCUGCCCUGGCACUGCCUUGGCCCCGGCCCUGCCUUCUCCCUGGUCUUGCCUUUGCCCUGCCCUGGCCUGACCCCAGGCCUACCGAGUCCAUGAAAUGGCCCUGGACCUGCCUUGCCAUCCUCUGUCCUGGUCCUUUAUUGUCCCCACCAUGCUCUGGUCCAGUGCUUGCCCUGGCCCUGUUGCUAGUCCUGCCACUGUUAUGGCCCUGCCCUGUUUUUGGCCAUGCCCUGUGCUACCCUAGCCCUGCCCUGCCUUGGCCUUGGCCCUACCAUGGCCUUCUCCUACCCUGGCCUGGCCCUACACUGGCCUUUUCUACCCUGGCCUUGCCCUUCCCUGAUCUUGCCUUGCCCUGGCCUUGCCCUGCCCUGGCCUUGGCUUUGCCUUAUCCUGGUCCUGGUUCUGCCCUGACCCUGGCCUUGCUCUGGAUCCUCUCUGGUUCUGCUUUCUCCCUGGCCCUGCCCUUGCUCUGGCCCUGUCCCUGGCCCAGCCUUGACCCUGACCCUGGCCCUGACAAUCCCCAGGUCUGACACUGGCCAUGCUUGGCCCUGGCCCCUCCUUUUGGCCCUGCCCUGGCCCUGCCUUGGCCCUGUGCUAUCUUAGUCCUGCCCUGGCCCUGAACUCACCCUGGCCCUACCCUCACCCUACACUGGCCCUGCCCU